CCUACGGGAGGCAGCAGUGGGGAAUAUUGGGCAAUGGGCGCAAGCCUGACCCAGCAACGCCGCGUGAAGGAUGAAGGCUUUCGGGGUGUAAACUUCUUUUUAGAGGGAAGCGCAGAAGACGGUACCUCUUGAAUAAGACAUGGCUUACUACGUGCCAGCAGCCGCGGUCAUACGUAGGUGGCAAGCGUUGUCCGGAUUUACUGGGUGUAAAGGGCGUGUUGCCGGGCUGACUAGUCAGUUGUGAAAUUCCGGGGCUCAACCCCGGACCUGCAUUUGAAACUGUUGGUCUUGAGUAUCGGAGAGGCAGGCGGAAUUCCUAGUGUAGCGGUGAAAUGCGUAGAUAUUAGGAGGAACACCGGUGGCGAAGGCAGCCUGCUGGACGACAACUGACGGUGAGGCGCGAAAGCGUGGGGAGCAAACAGGAUUAGAUACCCCAGUAGUC
rnacentral:rRNA from 1 species